rnacentral:rRNA from 1 species
CCCUUAGACGUUCUGGGCCGCACGCGCGCUACACUGACCAGUGCAACAAGCAUCCGUCCUUGGCCGACAGGCUCGGGCAAUCUUUGAACGCUGGUCGUGAUGGGGAUAGACUUUUGCAAUUUUUGGUCUUCAACGAGGAAUUCCUAGUAAACGCAAGUCAUCAACUUGCAUUGAUUACGUCCCUGCCCUUUGUACACACCGCCCGUCGCACCUACCGAUUGAAUGGUCCGGUGAAGCCUCCGGUUUGGCGCGCACCUCGGUGCCGCCGAGAAGUUGGCUAAACCUUACCAUUUAGAGGAAGGUGAAGUCGUAACA